UACGUAGGUGGCAAGCGUUGUCCGGAUUUACUGGGCGUAAAGAGCGCGCAGGCGGCCGAGUAAGUCGAAUGUGAAAGCCCCCGGCUCAACUGGGGAAGGUCAUUCGAUACUGUUCGGCUCGAAGAUAGGAGAGGGAAGCGGAAUUUCAGGUGUAGUGGUGAAAUGCGUAGAUAUCUGAAGGAACACCAGUGGCGAAGGCGGCUUUCUGGCCCUAUUCUUGACGCUGAGGCGCGAAAGCUAGGGAGCGAACGGGA
rnacentral:rRNA from 1 species